GAUGAAGAACGUAGCGAAAUGCGAUAAGUAAUGCGAAUUGCAGAAUCCGGGAGUCAUCGAAUCUUUGAACGCACAUUGCGCCCCUUGGUUAUUCCGAAGGGCAUGCCUGUUCGAGCGUCAUUAUCACCCCUCAAGCCCUGGCUUGGUGUUGGACUUUAGUUAUAGCUUUGCCUAUCAACUGGUCUCAAAGAUAGUGACGGCGCCCCAGAGGGAACCGGGUACGAGGAGCUUUUUACUAAGCAUGUAUCUGGGACGACUCUGGGCGACGGUCUUGUUAUACUUUUUACCUAAGUGUUGACCUCGGAUCAGGUAGGAAUACCCGCUGAACUUAAGCAUAUCAAUAAGCGGAGGA
rnacentral:misc_RNA from 1 species